GACGCUCCAAACAAUCUCCGGGGCCUUGAGUGUCCUCAUUCCCACGCUGCCCGUCUUCACGGCGUACUUCCAGUUCUAUCUAUUGCUUUGCCUUAAAUAAGGUUUGCUGCUGAGUUUGCAAUAUGUGUGGGCUUUUAGUUCAUUCUUGAAUAAGAGGCUGAAAACCUGAGACUAUGGUUCCCAGUUCUCUCGGAACACGGUCUAAGAACUGGCUACAACAACCAGUGUGCACAGAGGCUAACCUCCUCGAAGAAUCUGUGAAGGCCUGAUCCUGUAUACAGCACAGUAUGAUGUGAGUCCUCUGCUUCUGUGCCAGCUUCUGUGCCUGCCUCCUGCUGCCCUGCUCCACCAGACUCUAACCCAGAUGGGCUCCCUUUUCU